AGAAGAUUACAAAGGUGGGAUACAGAUUUGAAAUACAUUGGCCGGCAGGUUCAUCAUACCUCCGGAGACUGAAGCUCCAACUACGGAGAGACUAAAACACAAUAACAUGAUGACUAAAGAAACAGAAUAUGAAACAAUCUAAGCUAGAAGAAGUGGGUAACAACAUAAAAUAAACCUUCACCCAAAAGAGAUCAAUAAAGCAUGAUGACUUGAACAAAGCUUCUUUGAACAAGGCAAAGCGAGGAAGCCAUCCAUGGCUACAACCUCCGUGCGAAUCCUCCUAAUAGCUCAUGCAGAUGAAAGACCAAAGCUUCAAGCUCUAGGAGACAUAACACGUCAUGUUCAAAAGUCUUCAACUGGAAGUCGAUGGAGGAGUUGAAUCGAUAAGCCAAAGAAGCUGGACAGAAAAUAAGAUCUCGAUCAAAUCUGUAAAGGAAAGGAUAAGGAGCGAAACAACUCAUAAUCAUGAACAACUCAUUCGAGAGACUGAGAAGGUCGAAGAUCGAGACCAUGUAUGAACCAAAGAAAGCUCAAAAUCAACAUGCAAUUCAAUCAAACCACACACAAGUUCCAAGAUAGAACUAGAUCUGAAGGGAACGAGGAUAUAAUCCACUUCAACUAGAAAUAUUGACAAAAUAGAUCAACCGAAAACUCUCAUUCUCUUCGGAAAAGGAUCAUAUCGGAGAUCUGAAAACAACCUGUUGAGAGAAACGAGAAUAACCUAGUAGAUCUAACUGGAGAACACAACAUAAAACAAAAAGAGGAGCAAAGAUCGCCCCCAAUUUUAUGGAAGCAACC
rnacentral:lncRNA from 1 species